rnacentral:rRNA from 1 species
UACGAAGGGGGCUAGCGUUGCUCGGAAUCACUGGGCGUAAAGCGCACGUAGGCGGGUCUUUAAGUCAGGGGUGAAAUCCUGGAGCUCAACUCCAGAACUGCCUUUGAUACUGAAGAUCUCGAGUUCGGGAGAGGUGAGUGGAACUGCGAGUGUAGAGGUGAAAUUCGUAGAUAUUCGCAAGAACACCAGUGGCGAAGGCGGCUCACUGGCCCGAUACUGACGCUGAGGUGCGAAAGCGUGGGGAGCAAACAGG